GCGCUGGGGGCACGCGGCGCCCGCCCGGGGUGUCCGGGCGGCCCAGCGCCGGGCCUCCGCCCUCGGGCGCAGCGCGCAGCGUCGGGCUCCCUCCGAGCCUCCGCCCGGGCCGCCCGCGCCGAGCGCCCGGCCGCCGCCCUCUCCGCCUUUCCCCGCGUCCCCCGCCAGCCCGCCCUCGGGAUCUCAGCGCUCCGCUGCGCUCGGGCCGCAGGUGCCCCGCGGCGCGCCGGCCUGCUGGGGUCACGUGCUUCCCGGGCCCCGCAGGUCGCGGACCCCUCGCGCGCUGCCCGGGGCUCCAACGUGCCACGUGAAGCGCUCCCGCUCCGCUGCCCCGGGGCGCACGCCGCGCGGGCCGGGUCAUGUGUCUUUCCCGGGAGGUCCCGGUGAGCCGCCGCCCCUGGGCGCCUCGUGCCGCCGCGGGGCAGGGACCGCAGGCGCCCGGCGGCGUCAACUUCCUAGGACGGCACGUGCCAUGCCAGGUGCCUUUCCCUCCAAGUCCCAGAGUCCGCGAGGCCCAGCUGCCCGCACCCCCGGCCGACGCGGGGCACUCGGACUGGGCCCUGGGGUCCUGAGCCGCCUGAGAGCGACGCCUCGCCUCGGAAUGGCUCUUCUCAUGUGGUUGCUCUGAUGAAGCAGGAGAGAUCAGGUGGCAGCAAACUCAGGCGGCUCCUGCCAUCUGUCAGCAAGGAUCUGAGGCACUUACUCCAGAAACUGCCGAGGUGUUGAAUGCUUCAAACACCAGAGGCAUGAGGUUGGAAGUGGAUCCUUCGUCAGUUGAACUUUCAGAUGAGACCGCAGGCUAGCCUGAUACUUUCCAACCUGUAAGAGACUCUGAACAGAGGAGCCAGGGGAGCUAUGCCUGGAUUCCUGAUCUCUGGAAACUGUGAGGUAACAAAAGUGUGUUGUUUUAAGCCUCUAACUUUUGAAGUUAUUUUAUUAUUUUGAAUUUUUUGGCCACACUAUCUGGCAUGUGGAAUCGUAGUUCCCAGACCAGGAAUGAAACCGUGCCUCCUGCAUUAGAAGCACAGAGUCUUAACCUCUAGACCACCAGGGAAGUCCCAGGUGGUAAUUUUAAAAUGCAGCAAUAUAUAAUAAAGAAACAGGCUCGGAAAAGUAAAGGCA
rnacentral:lncRNA from 1 species